ACCAAUUGCGAAGGCAGCUUUCUGGAUCAUUACUGACACUGAGGAACGAAAGCAUGGGUAGCGAAGAGGAUUAGAUACCCUCGUAGUCCAUGCCGUAAACGAUGUGUGUUAGACGUUGGAAAUUUAUUUUCAGUGUCGCAGGGAAGCCGAUAAACACACCGCCUGGGGAGUACGACCGCAAGGUUAAAACUCAAAUGAAUUGACGGGGACCCGCACAAGUAGUGGAGCAUGUGGUUUAAUUCGAAGAUACGCGCAGAACCUUACCAACACUUGACAUGUUCGUCGCGACUCUAAGAGAUUAGAGUUUUCGGUUCGGCCGGACGAAACACAGGUGCUGCAUGGCUGUCGUCAGCUCGUGUCGUGAGAUGUUGGGUUAAGUCCCGCAACGAGCGCAACCCUCACUUUUAGUUGCCAUCAUUAAGUUGGGCACUCUGAAAGAACUGCCAGUGAUAAGCUGGAGGAAGGUGGGGAUGACGUCAAGUCCUCAUGGCCCUUACGUGUUGGGCUACACACGUGCUACAAUGGCAUCUACAACAGGAAGCAAAACGGCAACGUUAAGCAAAUCCCGAAAAGAUGCCUCAGUUCGGAUUGCACUCUGCAACUCGAGUGCAUGAAGCUGGAAUUACUAGUAAUCGUGGAUCAGCGUGCCACGGUGAAUGCGUUCCCGGGUCUUGUACACACCGCCCGUCACGCCAUGGGAGUUGGUUCUACCUUAAGGCAAGGUUUUAAACCCUUGACCACGGUAUAGUCAGCGACUGGGGUGAAGUCGUAACAAGGUAACCGUA
rnacentral:rRNA from 1 species